GUUUAUCUUACACAGAGAGAGGUGGAUGCCUGCAAUGUGCUGUUUGUACUGGUAAUGGAGGAAAUGGAACAUGCAUUAUUGCUUGUCUACAAGCUGAAUAACCGGCAUAUUGAGAGACUCUACACCUUGACAAAAGUCAAUGAAGAUUUCAAAGUGGAUCUGAAAUUAUUCGUCGCUCUUGGCUGUUUGAUGUCUAGAAUUCUGGAUAAAGAGCCAAUUGAUGAUGCAGUCAAACCAAACAUAAUCAUUACGAAGGAUCUCCUAGAGAAAGCUGAUUUCUAUGCCCUAAAAUGGAGAGUUUCUGAUGUUGGGAUUGGCAGUGAUCUUUGGAUUUUGCUGUCAUAUUUGUUCUAAGUGAAAUUUUCCAACCAAGUUUCACACAUGUCAUUUAUAAAAAUCACGAAGAGGAGAGGGUCACAGAAUAGAUCCCUGUGGACCACCACUGGUCACCAACAUCCAUGUAGAAUACGAACCAUCUACAACCACCCUUUGCCUUCUGUGGACAAGCCAAUUCUGGAUCUACAAAGCAAGGUCUCCUUGGGUCCCAUGCCUCCUUACUUUCUGAAGGUGCCUUGGAUGCCUUGUAUGGGGAACCAUAUCAAAUGCCUUACUGAAAUCCAUAUACACUCCAUCCACUGCUCUACCUUCAUUAAUGUGUUUUGUUACAUCCUCAAAGAAUUCAAUCAGGCUUGUAAUGCAUGACCUGCCCUUGACAAAGCCAUGCUGACUAUCCCUGAUCAGAUUAUGUCUCUCCAAAUGCUCAUAAAUCCUGUCUCUCAGGAUCUUCUCCAACAACAUGCCCACUACUGACGUCAGACUCAGUGGUCUACAAUUUCCCGAGUUAUCUCUACUCCCUUUCUUGAACAAGGAAACAACCUUUGCAAAUGCCCAAUCCUCCAGUACUUCUCCCAACUCUAUUGAAAAUCGCUGCAAGAGGCUCAGCAAUCUCCUCCCUCACUUCCCACUGUAGCCUGGGAUAUAUCUCAUCCAGUCCCGGUGAGUUAUCUAAGUUAAUGCUUUUCAAAAGCUCCAGCACAUCCUCUUUCUUAAUGUCUACAUGCUCAAGCAUUUCAGUCCACUAUAAGACAUCCCCACAAUUGCCAAGGUCUUUUUCCCUGGUGACGACUGAUGCAAAGUAUUCAUUAAGUACCUCCGCUACCUCCUCCGAUUCCAUGCACCCACUUCCACUGCCGCACCUGAUUAGUCCUAUUCUCACAUGGCUCAUCCAGUUGCUCUUUACAUACUUGUAGAAUGCCUUGGAAUUUUCCUUAAUCCUGCUCACCAACACCUUCUCAUGGCCCCUUCUGGCUCUCCUAAUUCCGUUCUAAAUCUCCUUUCUAGCAACCUUAUAACUUUCUCUCUACCUUUCUCUGUAACCUCUUCCAAUCCUAUAAUCUUCCUGUAACCAGUUGUUAUUUUGGUUCUUUUUCAGUUCUGGGAGUGAUUUUUAACCACUCCACUAUAUGUUGUAGCAAAAACAACCUGCUGGAGGAACUCAGAAAGUCAACCAACAUUUGUGGGGGAAAGGAAUUGUCAAAUUUUCAGGUCAAAACCAUGCAUCCUACAUUAGGGCGCAGGAUAUCCACCUGAAACAUUAGCAAUUCAUUUCCCUUGGAUGAUACUGAUUAGCCCAUUGUGUUUUUCCAGCAGAUUGUAUGUUGCUCUGUACUCCACUCUCUGCAGUCUCCAGUGUCACCAGUAUUACUUCAUAGGAUGUAAAAUUCCAUCCUGAGAUCCUUUCACCCUCCUUUAAAUCUUUAACCCGUUCCCUUUGACUAAGUGUUUGGUCAUCAAUCUUAACAUCACUUUCCAAUGGCUGUGUGUUAAAUUUUGUUUGGUGAUGCUCCUGUGAAACACCCUGUGACAAUUUACAGUAUGUAGUUGCUUUAUAUAAAAUGUAUGAUGUUGAUGUACUUUAUUUGAGCUUUAAUAGGUAUUUCUAAAAUUGUAGCCUGUUUGAAAGCAGAUGUUACAAUAAACUUUGUUUAUAUAAAUGAUGUAUUGCAAUUACUACAAAACGAUGAACCACACAACCCAAUUAUACUUGAAGCUUUGGAAAGGAUUGUCCUCAGUUAGCUAUACUGUGUUUUCUAAUAGUAAGUGAACACAUUUACUGCAUUUCUAAAUAUAUUGAUUUCACCAUCAUUUUUCUUUAUUCCCAGCAAUGUCCAAAAUGUCCAAAGAAAUAUAAAAAUUUGAAAAGAAAAUUAGAGUCUUGAUAAUGAGAACUACCAAAGAAAAAUCCAGAGUGGCAUGGGGAGGAUGGAAUGUGUUGUUCAUGGAUAUAUGUACACUCAAAAGAAAAUAAAUGAGACAUAAAAUUGAAGAUAAACAUGAUUGAACAUAAUUAAAGACAAAUACAUUUGUGCUUUUUUGUAAGAUGACGAUGAAAGAGUGGAAAAUAUGAUACAUAUAGAUAAAUUAGCUCCUAUGAUAAUAUAUGGCUGAGAAAGUCAGUGGCAAUUUCAAAACCAGUGAUAGUGGGAUGUGGAUAUAUUUAGUUGCUUUUUGGGUCUGUCAUUUUUGAUCGUGUUUUUACAAUCUUUCACAAGUCUGUGUUCUUUCAGGCUUUACAAUUCCAUUUUGUUCAGCAAGUUCCCACUGUUUCUAUCUGCGGAAUGCUUCAUUCAACAAGUGUGCAAGAAUUCCAUCCUGUGAUAAAAGCUACUCAGCCAUUAAGAAAUAACUGGUUAUGUCAAAUCAUUUUUGGGUCCUUCAGAGGAGUGGAUCAGCUCCAGUGAUUACCGAUUGGAGUUCAAUUCUCGCUGCCAUCUGUAAGGUGUUUCUACAUUUUCCUCUUGACCAUGCCGGUUUGCUCCAGGAGCUCUGUUUUUCUCCCACGUUCCAAAGGAGUAUGAUUAAGGUUAACGAGUUGUUGGCUUGCUACACUUGUGAUAGAAGUGUGGUGACACUUGCAGUCUGCCCAUAGUACAAUCCUCGGAUUAUUUUAAUCAUUGAUACAGAACGAUGCAUUUUACUGCAUGUUUCAAGGAACAUGUGAUAAAUAAAGCUAAUUUUUAAUUUUCAGAUAAAUUAAAUUCUGAAGUUUGAAAAUAUACAGAAUGAGGAGGUUGUGUGUAUUAAUACUAGGCAUAAAACAACUAUGU